UACGUAGGGGGCAAGCGUUAUCCGGAUUUACUGGGUGUAAAGGGAGUGUAGGCGGGAAAGCAAGUCAGAAGUGAAAACUAUGGGCUUAACCUAUAGCCUGCUUUUGAAACUGUUUUUCUUGAGUGAAGUAGAGGCAAGCGGAAUUCCUAGUGUAGCGGUGAAAUGCGUAGAUAUUAGGAGGAACACCAGUGGCGAAGGCGGUCUGCUGGACAGCAACUGACGCUGGAGGCGCGAAAGCGUGGGGAGCAAACAGG
rnacentral:rRNA from 1 species